UUAGUACGACUCUGGCCAACUGCGCAAAAGACAUACUAAAUGUAAAGAUUAUUAUGUAAGUGGGGGAAAGUAAAGGCUCAAGGGUAUAAUAAAAAGGAAGAAACUUCAUAAGGAGUACAAUAUCUAUGGAUACGUUAAUACUUGUUCAUGAAAAAAGACUGAUCGGAGGCUGAGGAUGAAAUUACUGUUUGAUUUUUGUGAAGCGGUCCUGCUUUGGGUCCUACAGUAGACUGAAGAGAAAGUGGAGGCUACCCUAGACCAGGGCUACGUCUUGAUCAGUCGUCCAGUGGAAGGCCCAGCCAUGAUUGAGAAAAUUGAUCGUAUUGUGUAUACCAUCAUACACAUGCCAAACUACACAGAAAAUAAGAAGAAAAGCUUACUUGUAAAACUGGUCCAUUCCCCAUCAUUGAAAAAUGGUGGUACCCUUGAGCAGUCAGAUGUUGUUGCUGUGUUUGAUACCUGCAUUAGUAUCAUCACUACAGAAGAUAAUGAAGGAACAGCUCAGCUUGCUGUCUUUGCAUUUAAUAGCUGGGCAGGACAACACAAAAAUUACCUUAAAGAAUACUUGACCCCUGAAAAAGUCAGUUAUGUAUUAAGUGGACAGACAAAUAAUGUAAUGAUUAUUGGUUGGUUAAAAGAAACACUGUGUCAUUUAAUAAAAGAUGCAGACACUAUAAGCACAUU